UCCGGCUGGAGAAGAGCACAGGGAGCACGAUCACUCCACUUACCUCCCCUGCUUCUCUUUAUAGUGGCGUUGUCCCCCUGUGUGAAAAUAGAAACACAGUGGUCUGGCGGCAGGGGUAUGUGAUCUGCCCUUCAGAUCUCCUCCUCCCCUGCCUCCGCCCUCUACUGGCCAGGCGCCGCACUGCUCCACAUUUGACAGAGGCACUGCCUCUGCACAGCGCACGAUCUGUCCUCCCCUGCAGGCGAUGAGUGAUGUUCCCUCUCCCCGCCCCCUUCCUCAAUCCCUGCUUCAGCUCUGCAGUCUGUACAGCAAGUCCUCUCUCCUGCUCUGCACACAGCAUGUCCCGACUCGAGUCUCCCCCCCCCCCCCCUCCUGCUCUGAUCAGCAAGUUAGCCCUCCCUCUCUCCUACUCUGCACACAGCCUGUCCAAGGUCCCUCCCUCUCCUGCUCUGCAGAGCAAGUCCCCCCCGCCUCUGCUGCUCUGCACACAGCCUGUCCCGAGCCCUCCCUCCUUCUCUGCACAACCUAUCCCUCCCCCUCUCCUGCUCUGCACAGUUAGUCCACCCUCCCUCUCUCCUGCUCUACACACAGCCUGUCCCAAGUUUACCCCCCCUCCUUCCCCCCCCUACCCUCUCUCCUGCUGUGCACAGAAUGGUGUCCCCUGCAGGCAGAAGGUCCCAUUUCCUAGCCUGUAUUAAGGAGUCCCAGCCAGUGCACUGCAUGGCCUGUACUUCCUGGGUCCUGGUCUGGAUGCUGCUGCAGCUGAUGUGUGAGGGAACACAGAGCCUCCUGCAAUGCUGCAAACAGAGAGGUGCUCCAGUCCGGGUACUCCAUGACGCCGUAGCCGGCGCACUGUGAUGACAUCAAGUUUGAACGGAAAGGAGUGUGUCGGGACUUUGGCACCAUGGACUACAGAGACAGGGGUAUUUAGCAUGACGUGUUCAAGGACAAGGCAACGCCAGAUGUAUCCAAGGCUAAUUGGAAAGAAGUUUAUGUCCGAAAGACUGAUAAACGAAGCACUAACCAUUUUCUAGAAUGUUCUAAUUGCUAAUUAUAAUCUUGUAUGACAAUUGAUGUAUUACAGUUUUUGAGACAUACAUGGUGUAUUCUGAUUGGCUGAAUGUAUUGGCAAACAUGAAUCCUUUGUCUUUAAGCUAUAAAAAUAAACCUUAUAUGGCCCCUAAGCGAGGUCAACUAUGGUCUGCUUAGGUUACACAUGA